AGCGAACGCUGGUGGCAGGCCUAACACAUGCAAGUCGAACGAACCCUUCGGGGUUAGUGGCGGACGGGUGAGUAACACGUGGGAACGUGCCUUUAGGUUCGGAAUAACUCAGGGAAACUUGUGCUAAUACCGAAUGUGCCCUUCGGGGGACAGAUUUAUCGCCUUUAGAGCGGCCCGCGUCUGAUUAGCUAGUUGGUGAGGUAAUGGCUCACCAAGGCUACGAUCAGUAGCUGGUCUGAGAGGAUGACCAGCCACAUUGGGACUGAGACACGGCCCAAACUCCUACGGGAGGCAGCAGUGGGGAAUCUUGCGCAAUGGGCGAAAGCCUGACGCAGCCAUGCCGCGUGGAUGAUGAAGGUCUUAGGAUUGUAAAAUCCUUUCACCGGUGAAGAUAAUGACUGUAGCCGGAGAAGAAGCCCCGGCUAACUUCGUGCCAGCCGCCGCUGUAACAC
rnacentral:rRNA from 1 species